GACGAACGCUGGCGGCGUGCUUAACACAUGCAAGUCGAGCGGUAAGGCCCUUUCGGGGUACGACGAGCGGCGAACGGGUAGGAGUAACAACGUGGGUGGACCUCGCCCUCCAGCUCUGGGAGUAAGACCUCGGGAAACCGGGGUACCGUAAUAACCGGAGUAUGACUCCAUGACGCAUGUUGUGGGGUGGGAAAGACCUUGUGCGGCUGAGGAUGGGCCCGGCCGGCCGUAUCAGCUUGUUGGUGGGGUGGANGGCCUACCAAGGCGACGACGGGUAGCCGG
rnacentral:rRNA from 1 species